rnacentral:rRNA from 1 species
GAGUUUGAUCGUGGCUCAGAUUGAACGCUGGCGGCAUGCCUUACACAUGCAAGUCGAACGGCAGCAUGAUCUAGCUUGCUAGAUUGAUGGCGAGUGGCGAACGGGUGAGUAAUACAUCGGAACGUGCCCUGCAGUGGGGGAUAACUAGUCGAAAGAUUAGCUAAUACCGCAUACGACCUGAGGGUGAAAGUGGGGGACCGCAAGGCCUCAUGCUAUAGGAGCGGCCGAUGUCUGAUUAGCUAGUUGGUGGGGUAAAGGCCCACCAAGGCGACGAUCAGUAGCUGGUCUGAGAGGACGAUCAGCCACACUGGGACUGAGACACGGCCCAGACUCCUACGGGAGGCAGCAGUGGGGAAUUUUGGACAAUGGGCGAAAGCCUGAUCCAGCAAUGCCGCGUGUGUGAAGAAGGCCUCGGUUGUAAG